rnacentral:rRNA from 1 species
AUACGGAGGGUGCGAACGUUAUUCGGAAUCACUGGGCGUAAAGGACGCGUAGGCGGGUUGGCAAGUCAGAUGUGAAAUCCUACAGCUUAACUGUAGAACUGCAUUUGAAACUGCUAACCUAGAGUAUGGGAGGGGGAGAUGGAAUUAGUGGUGUAGGGGUAAAAUCCGUAGAUAUCACUAGGAAUACCGAAAGCGAAGGCGAUCUCCUGGAACAUAACUGACGCUAAGGCGUGAAAGCGUGGGGAGCAAACAGGAUUAGAAACCCUAGUAGUCC